CACGAGGAAUGAAAAACAAACAAAAGUCCAUGUGGUGGUGACAAACAGUACUGCAGCCAGACAUGAUCAUUGCUUUGUGAGCCCAGCUGAGUGGUCAGCUGUAGGGGCUUUAUAGGAUGGUCACUUUGUAAAGAUUUCAGUUGGCUGGGGAUCACGGGGAAGCAAAAAGAACAGCCAUCAAAUCCAUAUGUGAAGCUGCAGAAAAAAAUAAAAUACAAUAGGUGGCUUUAGAUCAAGAGGGCUGAUCCAUGUGCAGCUGUAUACUGGGGCGCAGACUGAGGCCUGAUCAACCCUGGCUGGGUCACCUGGAAGAGGGUAUUUGAUGUUGAAAGACCCGACACACCAGAGGACCCCAGGGAACAUCAUUGAUGAUGCAUCCCAGUGCAACAGGACGAUUUCCUUUUAGAAGUACAGCAACAUCCAAAACCUUGUUUAGGAAGGCAACAAAUCACAUACGAAUUCUAAUUCAAGAGUACAUGCCUGGCAUUUCUUAUAUAAUGGGUUUCUACCAGAAAUAUCAGAAAAAACCCAGAACGCCAAGCAGCUGUCACUGUUGUGGCAUCCUCACCAGAAACCUUUGUCUCUGAAUUCCAGAGGCUGGUGUUGCAGAGCAUUUCUGGAAAGACCAAACUGACAACAAAGAAAAAUUGAUCAUCAAAUGUUCUGAAUUGUUUGCAUUCAAAGAUAUAUACUAAAAUCAGUACUUUUGAAUUAUACUCCAAUGAAUAAAGUGUGCAUCAAGAAUUCAUAGUGACAUUAAUUCAUUAUGUUCAGAAUGAUAUUCAUAUUUCAACCUAGAGAUUGUUAGAUUUACAUGUAGAGCAUCUGCAACACCUCCUUCAUAUUCAGAAUGUCAAAGGAUUGGCACAUCAAUUG
ensembl:lncRNA